rnacentral:tRNA from 2 species
GCGGGCGUAGUUCAGUGGUAGAACGGCAGCCUUCCAAGCUGCACGCGAGGGUUCGAUUCCCUUCGCCCGCUCCA